rnacentral:rRNA from 1 species
AUACGUAGGGGACGAGCGUUGUCCGGAAUUACUGGGCGUAAAGGGCGCGCAGGCGGAUAUUUAAGUCAGCUGUAAAAGGCAUGAGCUCAACUCAUGUAUGCGGUUGAAACUGGGUAUCUAGAGUGCUGGAGAGGUAGGCGGAAUUCCCGGUGUAGCGGUGAAAAGCGUAGAUAUCGGGAAGAACACCAGUGGCGAAGGCGGCUUACUGGCCAGCAACUGACGCUGAGGCGCGAAAGCCAGGGGAGCGAACGGGAUUAGAUACCCCGGUAGUCCUGGCCGUAAACGAUGAAUGCUAGGUGUGGGUGUCGAGAGGCAUCCGUGCCGGAGUUAACGCGAUAAGCAUUCCGCCUGGGGAGUACGAUCGCAAGAUUGAAACUCAAAUGAAUUGACGGGG